rnacentral:rRNA from 1 species
GUGUGCCUACGGGGCGCAGCAGUGGGGAAUAUUGCACAAUGGGGGAAACCCUGAUGCAGCGACGCCGCGUGAAGGAUGAAGUAUUUCGGUAUGUAAACUUCUAUCAGCAGGGAAGAAAGUGACGGUACCUGACUAAGAAGCCCCGGCUAACUACGUGCCAGCAGCCGCGGUAAUACGUAGGGGGCAAGCGUUAUCCGGAUUUACUGGGUGUAAAGGGAGCGUGGACGGUAUGGCAAGUCUGAUGUGAAAACCCGGGGCUCAACCCCGGGACUGCAUUGGAAACUGUCGGACUAGAGUGUCGGAGG